ensembl:lncRNA
CGGGCUUCGUCGCCUCGUGCUGCCGGCGGCGGGCUCUGUGGGACUCCCCGCCGCGGGAUUUUGGUUUGCCCCGUAGCAAAAAAGCAUGCAGGCGCGCUCCCCGAAGAAGAGCCCCACAGAGGGCACGGAGCACACGAACGGGAACUUCAGGGUAUCCCUCGGUCGGGAAGUUCCCCGAGCCCCCGUCCAGAGCGGGGUGAGCGCUGAGGGCUGUCCCUGGGCCGCCGCCCCUCGCCCUGCGGCUGCAGACACCAACCCGCCAGCGCACUGCCCGGUCUGACCCACAGCAGCGGUUCCUGUGUCCUCUGAUCCCAUCCUGACGUAACACGGUAACGUGAGUGAUUUCUUCAGUGCUGCCAUUCCAGUGAAGGUUGCAGUAGAAUCUCCUUCCAUGUUAGUCACCGUGCUGGAGUAAGUUCUCUGGUUGUGUCUCCUGUCAUCAAGUGGCACCCCAUCCAGAUGUCUGCAAGGAGGAGAUCUCCUUUGACCUGGACAGUUUGGCUUCAUCUUGGAUACCUUUUGACUUCAAAGAUUUAAUCGUGAUCACCAGUCAGAUCUCUAUGUCAUGGGCUUCAAAUCACUAGCAGGGAGACUGCUACAAUUUCAGCUGCAACAUUUGAUGUAUAAAUCCCUUAUCCCAUCUGUUCGCUUAAUCCAGGAUUCUGAAACACGUUCAGGGAACAGAAAAGGUUCCUGUCCUGCUGUCUGGGGGAGAGUUUUGGUAGCCUGCCCGGCCAACCCUAGCCCAGAGUAGUCCCAGGUGUGGGAACAAGGCUGCCCACCAUCGCAUUGGCAUCAACAUAACUGAUAGCUCUCAACAUGCUGCAUCAGCGAAAGCACACAGACAAAUGAGGCUGGCCAUGGAGUCACACCAGCCUCAGCAGGACCUGUACAGAUCAGCUGUGAUCACCAGGGUUGCACAACCUUCCACAAGUGAGAAGUGGACUCUGGACAGCGAGAUAUGCAUUACAAGAUAAAGCUGUCCUGCUAUGCCACAGCAGUUGAAGAGUCUGAGCAUGCCUCAGUGGCCCUGCGCUCCCAGCACACAAAGCCAUCUGCAGCCACCAGUCAUUUGGAGCAGCCUCUCACAUGCUGGCUUUCCUACACGGAGUUUCUCACAGCAGGAUCAGCCGCCCUUCCAGCACAUCACAGGUGUUCUCCACAUGGCGUGAGCAGCAUUUCUCUCCUCCGGUUCUGGGAGAGGAAAUUCUGCAAACCAAAUGUGAACUCAGGAAAGGGAGGUCCUAGCAAACUUGCUGUGCCAAAGGCAAACACAAAAGGCUCACCUCUGCAGUUGUGCCCGACUGAGCAGUGCCAGCAAAUAGGGGAGUGCGGUGCCAGACUCAUACAGAGUGGUACGGGGUCAAGGCAAGGCUUUUUGCUGGGAACAGGGUGUGUGCGGGCUGAAAAGCACUGAGGAGGAACUGAGGCCAUGGCUGAUCCUGGGGGGUGCGCAGAUCAGCUCUGCAGGCGAGGUUAGUGCCUUUGCUCCUCUGUCAUCACCAGUCCCUGAGAGCAAUCACCACCCACCAACAGUUCCUCAAGAUAAGACUGAGCCAGCUGGGAGAAGAAAUCCUUUGAUAUUUCCCUGCCUCGCUGACUGCGUUUUUCACAGCUCACAUCUCAGAGAGGACCAGCAGAGAUGACUGGGCACGUAAGAAUAACACUGGGCUGGUAUGCAAGGAAGGUGCUAAUCUUCUGCCAUGUGUGUAGGGCCUGGGCAGAAUGAGGCAGAGCGCAGUGCUGGAGUCUCCCUGAUCCUCCCAUGGAUAUCAGCAGCUGCCACACCUGGAGUCUGCAGCAAAGCUCCUUCCUCCAGAGGCCAAGAGCUGAGCCUACUGUUUCCAGCAAGGAAUCUUACAAUCUAUUUAUUCUCAAGAUUAAAUUUCCCUGUCCAGAACAUGUAUCAAAAAAGUCCUCCCAAAGACAGAACGUGCUCAGUGAUUUGUUUCCUGAUAUUCAUUGCUCCAUAGUCGCCACCCCUGGAGAUGUUCAAGAGCUGUAGAGAAGCCUGCGCUUGCUGGGGGACUUGCUGGUGGGGCAGUGCUGUGUGGAAGGGCUGUGCUCACACCAUGAGAUGAGGCCAUCUAACAGACGAAGCAUGCAGGAUUUGCACUGACCGACGCCUGCACGGCUUCAGAGCUGUUUAUGGAUGUAAGGCUUGUCGUGGCUCUUCUCCCAGACACCUCGCUGCUGUCACAGCUCAGCGUUUGCCAUAUGUUUCAGCCCAGUGCUCGAAGCCUAAUAAAAAUGUCUAGCUGUAAAUCACCAGAGGUGUAGGCUGUGACCCUCUUUACUCCUACCUCUUCCACCACCUCUCAGCCACCCUUUUCCAGAUACUGGAAGCAGUAUAGCAAGAGUGCUUCUCCCAUCGGCCUCCUGCCAGAGCAGUGAUGCCAGAACACAGCUGUUUGCAAGUGCAUGGGGAAAGCUGUGCUGGGCUGAAAUGCAAAAUGAGGCCAAUGUGUCCCCACGGUCGCUUCUUCAGGAUACUUCUUUGUCCCACAUGGAGACAGAAGCUCCUGCUUAAGUAACCCUGGGGACUUGGAUCAGACAUCAUUAAAAGCAGUGGGGCAGCCAGCCCAUGGGGAGGAGUGGCAAAUGCGGUGCGAAUGAUCAUGUCCUGCAUGGGACAGACCAGUGCCAAUUUUGAGAGCUAUUGAAGGAAGAAACUGCUCCAAGCAGAUUACCAAGGUGACAACGAGUGCAGCUGUGGAUUUACUCAGCUAAUCAGGAAACGCUUCCUUGCUGCAGAGUGGGGAAACUGAACUGUGCUGCUGAACAGGUGAUGUGCAAUCCUCCACUGUCUGUCUGCAUCGCCACAAGCAGGGCUGUGCCCUGAGAUUGCAUUGCUCUUGCAUGCCUUGCACUGCUCUACCUGCCCCUGCUUCAGGGAGGGAAGGAGCAGAGCCUGCCA